AGGACGAACGCUGGCGGCGUGCUUAACACAUGCAAGUCGAACGGUGACGAGAGAGCUUGCUCUCUCUGAUCAGUGGCGAACGGGUGAGUAACACGUGAGUAACCUGCCCCUUACUCUGGGAUAACUUCGGGAAACUGGAGCUAAUACCGGAUACGAGACGCACAGGCAUCUGUAGCGUUUGGAAAGAACUUCGGUAAGUGAUGGACUCGCGGCCUAUCAGCUUGUUGGUGAGGUAAUGGCUCACCAAGGCGACGACGGGUA
rnacentral:rRNA from 1 species